rnacentral:rRNA from 1 species
UAGUCUCGCACAGAUGCAUAUCAAUAAGCGGAGGAAAAGAAACUAACAAGGAUUCCCCUAGUAACGGCGAGUGAAGCGGGAAGAGCUCAAAUUUGAAAUCUUAAAGGGUUUCCCUUUACGUAUUGUAGUUUAAAGAAGUGUUUUCUGUUGAGGUUUUGGUAAAAGUUCUUUGGAAUAGGACAUCAUAGAGGGUGAGAAUCCCGUAUUUGACCUUUACUUUCAACUUUGUGAUACACUUUCAAAGAGUCGGAUUGUUUGGGAAUGCAGUCCAAAAUGGGUGGUAAAUUUCAUCUAAAGCUAAAUAUUGGCGAGAGACCGAUAGCGAACAAGUACCGUGAGGGAAAGAUGAAAAGAACUUUGAAAAGAGAGUUAAACAGUACGUGAAAUUGUCAAAAGGGAAGCGUUUGACACCAGUGUUGUUUUUCUGAAAAUCAAUUAAAGAACUGUUUAUGCUAAGCUGUUUAGACUUUAUCAGCUAUCUGUUUAGUUUUGAGCUUUUCUUUAAUGCACUUUUCAGUUAACAAGUCAACAUCAAUUUCUUUUGCUGUAAAAAAGCUUGAGGAAGGUGGCUUGAGAUUCGUCUUAAGUGUUUAUAGCCUCUUGCCUAUGCAGUCGGAGAGAUUGAGGUCUGCAGCGUAGAUCCUUCGGGGCUAAAUGCAUUUGUGCUAAGUUAUAGCAUUUUAUAGACAACUUGUUGACUAUGAUUUGUCUUGUAGCUUACUCGCUUAUGUUAUUUUACCUACGCUUAGGAUGUUGACAGCAGUAUAGACUGU